CCUCCCGCGGCAUGCGCGGUGCUGCGGCGCCGCCUGCUGUGCGGAGGAACUUCCCAGCUCCGAGCUUGGCUGCUGGACCCUGGGUUGGUUCUAAGGACAAGUUGCUCUAGGCUUGCUAUGCAGCCCAAGAUGACUGAACUUUUUCACCUCUUCCUGAUAGUGCUGGGAUUACAGAUGUGGACCACCAUGCCUGGCUUAUGUGGUGCUGGAAGUGUAACCCAGGGAAUGGUUCAUGCUUGGUAAGCUCUCUACUAACCAAGCUGCAUCCCCAACGCAUUUCACCUUAAAUCUUAGAUAAGGAGAUAUUCUCACAUCAUCAUGUAGCUUCCCGUUGUGCUCAUUCUCUUUAUCGAUGCCUUAAAACCACCCUGUUAUGCGCCAGCCACUCGUCCCACUUUAUCUUUCUGAUUCCUUUUCUCCAGUCAUAUAGCUUGCUUGCUUUUGCAAAGUUCACAGGGAAAGCUGUGCUACCAGUACACCUUGUGUAUGUCUGUAUGAAGUAUCCACUAUACCACACCAGGAUUGUCACUUUAUAUGCUACUAAACUUCUAGCUUCUGAAGUCAAAAGAGCAUGCUUUUUUAUUAUUACAGGUUGGUGCAGUGAAUAAAUGCAGAUUCUUUAUUGAAUGACUGGUACAAAGGAAGCAUCACAAUCAUUUAGUGAGAUAAAGAUGUUUUGCUAAGUCAGAAUAAUCAUGUAAGUCUAGAGAGAUGGCCCAGUGGUUAAGCACAUUGAUUUUCUUUGGGAGGACCUGAGUGGGUCCCAGCAUCCACAAGAUGGCUCACAACUGUAACUCCAGUUCCAGGGCAUCCAGUGCCCUCUUCCAACCUCCACAGGCACCAGGUGGGCAUAUGUACAUGCAGACAAAACGCACAUUAAAAAAUGAAUAGAGCUAAUUUUAAAAAUUAAAAGAAGCAUAAUUAUGUAGCUACACUUUAGUAUGCUCUUUGUUACUGUAGACACCUCAACUUCAAUCUUCAGUGAGUCUGUACAAAAAUAUUUCCAUCUUCUUGAGUAUUGUACGUUUUACUUUUAACAGGCAUUAAUUUUAUUGUCCCAG
rnacentral:lncRNA from 1 species